AUACGAAGGGUGCAAGCGUUAAUCGGAAUUACUGGGCGUAAAGCGCGCGUAGGUGGUUUUGUAAGUUGGAGGUGAAAGCCCCGGGCUCAACCUGGGAAUUGCCUCCAAAACUGCAUGACUAGAGUACGGUAGAGGGUAGUGGAAUUUCCUGUGUAGCGGUGAAAUGCGUAGAUAUAGGAAGGAACACCAGUGGCGAAGGCGACUACCUGGACUAAUACGUACACUGAGGUGCGAAAGCGUGGGGAGCAAACAGGAGUAGAUCCCCUGGUAGUCCACGCCGUAAACGAUGUCAACUAGCCGUUGGGAUCCUUGAGAUCUUAGUGGCGCAGCUAACGCAUUAAGUGGACCGCCUGGGGAGUACGGCCGCAAGGUUAGAACUCAAAUGAAUUGACGGGG
rnacentral:rRNA from 1 species